rnacentral:lncRNA from 1 species
AAACAGAAGGCUCCAGGAGACAUACAAUCAACACUCCACUCAGACAAUGCCCAGACCUCCAGAAACCAUGUGUCAAGCUCGGAUUGCCUUAGACAGGUGCAAUUUAAGAACAGCUUUCAUCCUCUUUUCUCUCAUAUUGUCACACUAUGUGUUCUGACUUCUGGCUCCUUUCCUCACAAGAAGCUCACCCAGCUGGAACUCUUAUGGGACCUUGGCACCAGAGACCACAAAUUCCUCUUUGAAGUUUUCUAACAGCAACAAUGGUAUUUCUGACUUGGCUUUCUUGUAUUUCUCUCACGUUAACAAAAUUGGUUCAGCAUCUACCAUGGGCUACAUGCUGAGCUACAGGAAAAACGGAGCCCGAGCAGCUAAGGAUCUUGCCCACGGUCACUGAAUUAGCAAUGCUUGUGAUGAACAUUCCCAAAGCUUUUAUGAGCUCUACGAUCUGGAAUAGGUCUCUUUGUGAUCUGUUCUCCUACUUGCUAAAUAUAUGAAAUAUUAAACUUCAUAAUCACAAA